AUUGCAAAAAAGAAAAGUGAAAUUCCCCUUGUACCGGUGAAUUGCUUAAAAAUGUGAAGAACCACCAUUGGCAAAGGCAACUCUCUGGUCUGUAACUGACGCUAAGGACCGAAAGCGUGGGGAGCGAACAGGAUUAAAUACCCUGGUAUUCCACCCCGUAAACAAUAAUUGCUAAUUGUUAGGGGUUUUCCGCCCCUUAUUGCUGCAUCUAACGCAUUAACCACUCCGCCUGGGAAGUACGGUCGCAAAACUGAAACUCAAAGGAAUUGACGGGAGCCCGCACAAGCGGUGAAGCAUGUGGUUUAAUUCAAAGCAACGCGAAAAACCUUACCAGGUCUUGACUUCCUCUGACACUCCUAGAGAUAGGACUUCCCCUUCGGAGGCAGAGUGACAGGUGGUGCAUGGUUGUCGUCAGCUCGUGUCGUGAGAUGUUGGGUUAAGUCCCGCAACGAGCGCAACCCUUGAUCUUAGUUGCCAGCAUUCAGUUGGGCACUCUAAGGUGACUGCCGGUGACAAACCGG
rnacentral:rRNA from 1 species